AUUGAACGCUGGCGGCAGGCCUAACACAUGCAAGUCGAGCGGAUGAUUGGAGCUUGCUCCAUGAUUCAGCGGCGGACGGGUGAGUAAUGCCUAGGAAUCUGCCUGGUAGUGGGGGACAACGUUUCGAAAGGAACGCUAAUACCGCAUACGUCCUACGGGAGAAGGCAGGGGACCUUCGGGCCUUGCGCUCUCAGAUGAGCCUAGGUCGGAUUAGCUAGUAGGUGAGGUAAUGGCUCACCUAGGCGACGAUCCGUAACUGGUCUGAGAGGAUGAUCAGUCACACUGGAACUGAGACACGGUCCAGACUCCUACGGGAGGCAGCAGUGGGGAAUAUUGGACAAUGGGCGAAAGCCUGAUCCAGCCAUGCCGCGUGUGUGAAGAAGGUCUUCGGAUUGUAAAGCACUUUAAGUUGGGAGGAAGGGCAGUAAGUUAAUACCUUGCUGUUUUGACGUUACCAACAGAAUAAGCACUGGCUAACUUCGUGCCAGCCGCCGCCGUAAAAC
rnacentral:rRNA from 1 species